GCAUGGUUGGUUCAAUGGUAGAAUUCUCACCUUCCAUGCAGGAGACCCAGGUUCAAUUCCUGGUCCGUGUA
rnacentral:tRNA from 1 species